rnacentral:rRNA from 1 species
AUAGGCGGAGGAAAAGAAACUAACGAGGAUUCCCCAAGUAGCGGCGAGCGAACAGGGAGAAGCUCAGCACGGAAUCCCGCGUGGAGACGCGCUGGGAGAUGUCGUGUGUGGGAGGUUACCAUUGCUCCGGGGGUCGGCUGCGUGUCCAAGUCUCCCUUGAACGGGGCCACAGCCCGCAGAGGGUGCCAGGCCCGUAGAGACCGCGGUCGCUCCCGGGAGGAACUCUCCUCAGAGUCGUGUUCCUUGAGAGUGGAGCACCAAGUGGGUGGUAAACUCCAUCUAAGGCUAAAUAUGACCACGAGACCGAUAGCGAACAAGUACCGUGAGGGAAAGUUGAAAAGAACUUUGAAGAGAGAGUUCAACNNNNNNNNNNNNNNNNNNNNNNNAAACGGUAGAGAUCCGAAAGGUCGAAAGGGGGGGACUCAAUCCCGUCCGCGAGUCCGAUGCCGUUCUCGGUCCCAAGGAUGCUGUCGGCCGCCGACCGCGUCGCAAGGCGCGAGUCGGGUCGGAGUCGGUGGCACCGAGGCUGGGGGCUCGGCCGCGGCGAGGUGCAAUUCUCCCCCCGAGUAGGACGUCGCGACCCGUUGGGUUUCUCGACCGGCCUAAGGCCCGGGAAUUGACCGAGGUGGCUGCCGCGCCAGAUGGUGCGGGUCAACGGUCUCCUCGGACCCUGGAUGUCCUGGCCGGCGCCCGACGGGAUGCUUCGCGGAGAUGGCCCGCUCCCUCUCGGAGCGUCCGGCCCGGUGGACAAGCUCGACGGCGGGCACGAGGUGCCGUGGCUUCCGCCACGUCCCCGGCUCCCGUCGGCUGCUGGUCCCCGGAGUCCUCGGACGGUGGCCGUCUCCCGUCUGCGGCGCUUUUGCUUCGGAUUCUUUCCCGACNNNNNNNNNNNNNNNGACCAAGGAGUCUAACAUGUGCGCGAGUCGCUGGGAGCUCUCGCUAAACCCGGAGGCGCAGUGAAAGCGGGCGUGCGGUCCUUCUCGGACCGCCGUCGGGAGGAUGCCGUGCGGAAAUCCCGCGUCGGCCGCACUCCCGGGGCGCCUCGGCCUCUCGGCCGCAGGCGCACUCGGAGCGCACACGUUGGGACCCGAAAGAUGGUGAACUAUGCCUGGUCAGGACGAAGUCAGGGGAAACCCUGAUGGAGGUCCGCAGCGAUUCUGACGUGCAAAUCGAUCGUCAGAGCUGGGUAUAGGGGCGAAAGACUAAUCGAACCAUCUANNNNNNNNNNNNNNNNNNNNNNNNNNNNNNNNNNNNNNGCGUCCAUUUUGKGAAGGGACGAGUYUCAUCCGGUAAAGCGAAUGAUUAGAGGCCUUGGGGCCGAAACGACCUCAACCUAUUCUCAAACUUUAAAUGGGUGAGAUCUCCGGCUUGCUUGACUCGAAGCCGCGAGAGUGCUGGAUCAGGGUGCCAAGUGGGCCAUUUUUGGUAAGCAGAACUGGCGCUGUGGGAUGAACCAAACGACGGGUUAAGGCGCCUAAACCGGAGCUCAUGGGAGACCAUGAAAGGCGUUGGUUGCUUAAGACAGCAGGACGGUGGCCAUGGAAGUCGGAAUCCGCUAAGGAGUGUGUAACAACUCACCUGCCGAAGCAACUAGCCCUGAAAAUGGAUGGCGCUAAAGCUCCGUGCCUAUACCCGUCCGCCGGCAGGCAAGGGUCGGUCCCCGUCACUUGUGGCGCCCGACGUGAAGCCCCGGCGAGUAGGAGGGCGCGGCGGCGUGCGCGGAAGGGUCUGGGCGCGAGCCUGCCUGGAGCCGCCGUCGGUGCAGAUCUUGGUGGUAGUAGCAAAUACUCAAGCGAGGGCCUUGAGGGCUGAUGUGGAGAAGGGUUUCGUGUGAACAGCCGUUGCACACGAGUCAGUCGAUCCUAAGCCCUAGGAGAAAUCCGAUGUCGAUGCGGGGGAUUUUCUGUCGAAACCCCCUUUGGGCGAAAGGGAAUCCGGUUCCUAUUCCGGAACCCGGCAGCGGAACCGAAUCGUCGGGCUCUCUAACGAGCAGCUCGUCGGGGUAACCCAAAAGGACCCGGAGACGCCGUCGGGAGACCCGGGCAGAGUUUUCUGUUCUGCAUAAGCGUUCGAGUUCCCUGGAAUCCUCUAGCAGGGAGAUAGGGUUUGGAACGCGAAGAGCACCGCAGUUGCGGCGGUGUCCGGGUCGUCCCCUCGGACCUUGAAAAUCCGGGAGAGGGACACGCGGAGGUGUCGCGCCGGCUCGUACCCAUAUCCGCAGCAGGUCUCCAAGGUGAAGAGCCUCUAGUCGAUAGACUA